CUGGGAAUUGCGUUGGAGACUGCAAGGCUAGAAUCUGGCAGAGGGGGGUAGAAUUCCACGUGUAGCAGUGAAAUGCGUAGAGAUGUGGAGGAACACCGAUGGCGAAGGCAGCCCCCUGGGUCAAGAUUGACGCUCAUGCACGAAAGCGUGGGGAGCAAACAGGAUUAGAUACCCUGGUAGUCCACGCCCUAAACGAUGUCUACUAGUUGUCGGGUCUUAAUUGACUUGGUAACGCAGCUAACGCGUGAAGUAGACCGCCUGGGGAGUACGGUCGCAAGAUUAAAACUCAAAGGAAUUGACGGGGACCUGCACAAGUAGUGGAGCAUGUGGUUUAAAUCGAUAAUACGCGCAAAACCUUACCAAUCUUUGUAUAAUAUUUAAUAUUACAGGAGUUGCAUGGCUGUCGUCAGUCCGUGCCGUGAGGCGUUUGGUUUAUUUCAACAAACGGACGAAACUUUUUUACAUUAAAUAAUGUGUACCGCUAAGGAUAUCUUAGAGGAAGGUAAAAACAACGUCAAGUCCUUAUGACCCUAAUAGGUUGGGCUACUUUCAUGUGCUACAAUAAAAUUUUCAAUUAGAAGCCAAAAUGCAAGUUUUAGCAAACUAUAAAAAACUUUAUUCGGAUUGUUCUCUGCAACUCGAGAACAUGAAGUUGGAAUUACAAGUAAUCGCAAAUAAGAAUGUUGCGGUGAAUUAGUUCUCAGGUCUUGUACACACCGCCCGUCACGCUAUGGAAAUUUCUUUUAUCUGAAAAUUAUUUUUAAUUUACGGUAAAAAAUGGACUGAAGUGAAGUCGUAACAAGGUAGC
rnacentral:rRNA from 1 species